rnacentral:lncRNA from 1 species
UUCGGGCAAUGGUGUUCCAUUAUCGUGGUAUUGGGUAUUUCUUAUUUCUAAAGCAUGAAAACUGAUUGGCUCAACGUCUGCAUUGGCAUUGAUGAAUGGCACGUCUCCGUGCUGAGGAAUCUCUGGUUCAGCGUUGACCGUGACCAAGCUAUUGUUGAUAAUGUAUUUCAACUGUUGGUGAAGAGGGGAGGGGACUGCCCCAGCCAUAUG